UNUGAAGUUAAAGGCUGUGGCUUAACCNUAGUACGCUUUGGAAACUGUUUAACUUGAGUGCAGAAGGGGAGAGUGGAAUNCCAUGUGUAGCGGUGAAAUGCGUAGAUAUAUGGAGGAACACCGGUGGCGAAAGCGGCUCUCUGGUCUGUAACUGACGCUGAGGCUCGAAAGCGUGGGGAGCGAACAGGAUUAGAUACCCUGGUAGUNCACGCCGUAAACGAUGAGUGCUAGGUGUUAGGCCCUUUCCGGGGCUUAGUGCCGCAGCUAACGCAUUAAGCACUCCGCCUGGGGAGUACGACCGCAAGGUUGAAACUCAAAGGAAUUGACGGGGGCCCGCACAAGCGGUGGAGCAUGUGGUUUAAUUCGAAGCAACGCGAAGAACCUUACCAGGUCUUGACAUCCCGAUGCCCGCUCUAGAGAUAGAGUUUUACUUCGGUACAUCGGUGACAGGUGGUGCAUGGUUGUCGUCAGCUCGUGUCGUGAGAUGUUGGGUUAAGUCCCGCAACGAGCGCAACCCUUAUUGUUAGUUGCCAUCAUUCAGUUGGGCACUCUAGCGAGACUGCCGGUAAUAAACCGGAGGAAGGUGGGGAUGACGUCAAAUCAUCAUGCCCCUUAUGACCUGGGCUACACACGUGCUACAAUGGCUGGUACAACGAGUCGCGAGUCGGUGACGGCAAGCUAAUCUCUUAAAGCCAGUCUCAGUUCGGAUUGUAGGCUGCAACUCGCCUACAUGAAGUCGGAAUCGCUAGUAAUCGCGGAUCAGCACGCCGCGGUGAAUACGUUCCCGGGCCUUGUACACACCGCCCGUCACACCACGAGAGUUUGUAACACCCGAAGUCGGUGAGGUANCCUUUUAGGAG
rnacentral:rRNA from 1 species